rnacentral:tRNA from 1 species
AUUUUCUUAAUAUAUAUAAAGUAUAUUUGACUUCCAAUCAAAAAGUCUAGAUAAUCUAGAGAAAAUA